UGAAAUACCACCCUUUAAUGUUUGAUGUUCUAACGUGGACCCGUAAUCCGGGUUGCGGACAGUGUCUGGUGGGUAGUUUGACUGGGGCGGUCUCCUCCUAAAGAGUAACGGAGGAGCACGAAGGUUGGCUAAUCCUGGUCGGACAUCAGGAGGUUAGUGCAAUGGCAUAAGCCAGCUUGACUGCGAGCGUGACGGCGCGAGCAGGUGCGAAAGCAGGUCAUAGUGAUCCGGUGGUUCUGAAUGGAAGGGCCAUCGCUCAACGGAUAAAAGGUACUCCGGGGAUAACAGGCUGAUACCGCCCAAGAGUUCAUAUCGACGGCGGUGUUUGGCACCUCGAUGUCGGCUCAUCACAUCCUGGGGCUGAAGUAGGUCCCAAGGGUAUGGCUGUUCGCCAUUUAAAGUGGUACGCGAGCUGGGUUUAGAACGUCGUGAGACAGUUCGGUCCCUAUCUGCCGUGGGCGCUGGAGAAUUGAGGGGGGCUGCUCCUAGUACGAGAGGACCGGAGUGGACGCAUCACUGGUGUUCGGGUUGUCAUGCCAAUGGCACUGCCCGGUAGCUAAAUGCGGAAGAGAUAAGUGCUGAAAGCAUCUAAGCACGAAACUUGCCCCGAGAUGAGUUCUCCCUGACUCCUUGAGAGUCCUGAAGGAACGUUGAAGACGACGACGUUGAUAGGCCGGGUGUGUAAGCGCAGCGAUGCGUUGAGCUAACCGGUACUAAUGAACCGUGAGGCUUAACCUUACAACGCCGAAG
rnacentral:rRNA from 1 species